GACGAACGCUGCGGGCGUGCUUAACACAUGCAAGUCGAACGGAAAGGCCUGCAGCUUGCUGCGGGUACUCGAGUGGCGAACGGGUGAGUAACACGUGGGUGAUCUGCCUUGCACUUCGGGAUAAGCUUGGGAAACUGGGUCUAAUACCGGAUAGGACAGCUGUUUAGUGUCAGUUGUGGAAAGUUUUUUCGGUGCAAGAUGAGCUCGCGGCCUAUCAGCUUGUUGGUGGGGUAAUGGCCUACCAAGGCGUCGACGGGUAGCCGGCCUGAGAGGGUGUACGGCCACAUUGGGACUGAGAUACGGCCCAGACUCCUACGGGAGGCAGCAGUGGGGAAUAUUGCACAAUGGGCGGAAGCCUGAUGCAGCGACGCCGCGUGUGGGAUGAAGGCCUUCGGGUUGUAAACUCCUUUCGACAGGGACGAAGCGUAAGUGACGGUACCUGUAUAAGAAGCACCGGCUAACUACGUGCCAGCAGCCGCGGUAAUACGUAGGGUGCGAGCGUUGUCCGGAAUUACUGGGCGUAAAGAGCUCGUAGGUGGUUUGUCGCGUCGUCUGUGAAAUUCCGGGGCUUAACUCCGGGCGUGCAGGCGAUACGGGCUGACUUGAGUGCUGUAGGGGAGACUGGAAUUCCUGGUGUAGCGGUGAAAUGCGCAGAUAUCAGGAGGAACACCGAUGGCGAAGGCAGGUCUCUGGGCAGUAACUGACGCUGAGGAGCGAAAGCAUGGGUAGCGAACAGGAUUAGAUACCCUGGUAGUCCAUGCCGUAAACGGUGGGCGCUAGGUGUAGGGGGCUUCCACGUCUUCUGUGCCGUAGCUAACGCAUUAAGCGCCCCGCCUGGGGAGUACGGCCGCAAGGCUA
rnacentral:rRNA from 1 species